AUGGACGAUGCAUGUUGUAGGAUCACAGAUAGUGCAGGCAUUGGUGGUAAUCUGCUUCUACUUUCUGUAUGGAGCUGGGAGCGUCUGCCUGUUGGACGCCCGAAGAGCGUCAGGUUUAAUCCUUGGUAUGAAGAUGAACAUGACGAAUUACGGUGCCCCACUUGGUGUAUUGUGAUCCCGCCCGAAUACCUUCUUGAAUGCUUGGGCCUCCUUGGGCGUGAACCCCUCCUCAUCAACUUCUUCAUCGGGACCAUCGUCAUCAGAGUCCGAUGCAUAUGCACGGGAAAAAGGGAUGGAUUGGUCCAUUGA
rnacentral:rRNA from 1 species